rnacentral:rRNA from 1 species
UACGUAGGGGGCAAGCGUUAUCCGGAAUUACUGGGUGUAAAGGGAGCGUAGACGGUAGUGCAAGUCUGGAGUGAAAGGCGGGGGCCCAACCCCCGGACUGCUCUGGAAACUGUAUAACUGGAGUGCAGGAGAGGUAAGCGGAAUUCCUAGUGUAGCGGUGAAAUGCGUAGAUAUUAGGAGGAACACCAGUGGCGAAGGCGGCCUGCUGGACUGUAACUGACGUUGAGGCUCGAAAGCGUGGGGAGCAA